rnacentral:rRNA from 1 species
UACGAAGGGUGCAAGCGUUAAUCGGAAUUACUGGGCGUAAAGGGUGCGUAGGCGGUUGUUUAAGUCUGUCAUGAAAUCCCCGGGCUCAACCUGGGAAUGGCGAUGGAUACUGGGCAGCUAGAGUGUGUCAGAGGAUGGUGGAAUUCCCGGUGUAGCGGUGAAAUGCGUAGAGAUCGGGAGGAACAUCAGUGGCGAAGGCGGCCAUCUGGGACAACACUGACGCUGAAGCACGAAAGCGUGGGGAGCAAACAGG